CCUUGGUUAGCUCAGUUGGUAGAGCGCUACACCUGUAAUGGAGAGGUCCCGGGUUCGAUACCCGGACCAGGCG
rfam:Ixodes scapularis strain Wikel colony gcontig_1108379760198, whole genome shotgun sequence.